rnacentral:rRNA from 1 species
AACGAACGCUGGCGGCAGGCUUAACACAUGCAAGUCGAACGCGUGCAGCAAUGCACGAGUGGCGCACGGGUGAGUAACGCGUGGAUAUCUGCCUUUUGGUUCGGAAUAACCCCGGGAAACUGGGGCUAAUACCGGAUGGUUCCUACGGGAUAAAGAUUUAUCGCCAAAAGAUGAGUCCGCGUCCGAUUAGCUAGUUGGUGAGGUAAUGGCUCACCAAGGCGACGAUCGGUAGCUGGUCUGAGAGGACGAUCAGCCACACUGGGACUGAGACACGGCCCAGACUCCUACGGGAGGCAGCAGUGGGGAAUAUUGGACAAUGGGGGCAACCCUGAUCCAGCCAUGCCGCGUGAGUGAUGAAGGCCUUCGGGUUAUAAAGCUCUUUUGGCGGGGACGAUGAUGACGGUACCCGCAGAAUAAGCCCCGGCUAACUUCGUG